GAACUCGUAGCUCAGUUGGUUAGAGCGCUUCGUUGACAUCGAAGAGGCCAGAGGUUCGAGUCCUCUCGAGUUCA
rnacentral:tRNA from 1 species